rnacentral:rRNA from 1 species
AACGAACGCUGGCGGCAUGCCUAACACAUGCAAGUCGAACGAGACCUUCGGGUCUAGUGGCGCACGGGUGCGUAACGCGUGGGAACCUGCCCUUAGGUUCGGAAUAACUCCCCGAAAGGGGUGCUAAUACCGGAUAAUGUCUUCGGACCAAAGAUUUAUCGCCUUUGGAUGGGCCCGCGUUGGAUUAGCUAGUUGGUAGGGUAAAAGCCUACCAAGGCGACGAUCCAUAGCUGGUCUGAGAGGAUGAUCAGCCACACUUGGACUGAGACACGGCCCAGACUCUUACGGGAGGCAGCAGUGGGGAAUAUUGGACAAUGGGCGAAAGCCUGAUCCAGCAAUGCCGCGUGAGUGAUGAAGGCCUUAGGGUUGUAAAGCUCUUUUACCCGGGAUGAUAAUGACAGUACCGGGAGAAUAAGCUCCGGCUAACUCCGUG